AGUUCCCAAGCUGCAAGGCUAUAAAAAGGUCCUCCCCAGGACUGCCCCUGAAAGCCUCCAGAUUCCAAUGAAUUUUGACUCCAUUGGAAGUGAAAGUCAGGGUCCCUCAGGAUUAAAGACUCUUAGGCUUAAGGGCUGUUAGAUUUCCAGAGAAACCUAUCAAAUAACCUUUUUUUUUUUUUCCACAAAAGUGGACACGGAUCUUGGGAAUGGAAGGUACUUGUAUAUCCAUAUACAGGUUUGGCCCGAACCAAAGCCAGGAGGUGUUGGGGGAGGACUGGGCUUCUACCCCAGUCUCCAUGAUGGCCCUCAGCCUUAAUUAGCAGCCUCCUGCAAAAUGAAACAAUGUGCUUGUUCCAAAGGGUAAGAUAAAGGUCCUGACAGCUGCCCCUCACUUCCAAUCAGAUGUGGUCCUCAAAUCCCUGCAUAGAGAAACUCACCGAAACAGCACAGAGAAACACACAGACAUACUCACAAAGCAUACAGAGACAUACCCAGAUAGGUACGACACACACACACACACACACACACACACACACACACACACACACGGUUGGAGGUUCUGCUUGGAGUCACACGGCACACAAGAUUGCUGUCAAGAAAGCCUGUCCAUAAAUAGUGGCUGUACACCCUCCUCACUUACAAUUCAGGGAAAAGAAGAGCGGGGAAGGAAAGGAGGAAAAACAACAACAACAAAAGCCACGACAGAGAACGGGAAAAGGCAGAGACUGAAAGCGAAGGACCGUCGGAGGAGGAGGGCGAGAGGCCCUUUGACGGACUCUGAGGAGCUAGAGAUGGUUAAAGUCUGGCUGAACCUAGGCCCUGGAAGAACCUUGGACUGCCUUCCCCAGUGUAGACACCAGGACUUAUUAAUGACAGAGAAGAUGGUGUGGGAAGUUCAGCCGAGAAGAUAAUGUCUUCACUUUUGUUUUUUUCAUUUUCUUCCUCAACAGACAUUUAUGCAGUGUGUGAUUCUUUCUAAAACAACUCCCUGGAAGAGAGGACAUUUAAUUCAACAAUUUAUUGGCCACCUACUGUGCACCAGGCAGUGAACUUGGAACUGGGGCUACUGGGUUACAGCAGUGACCAAGACAGAGGUCCCUGUUCUUAAGGAGCAAGUGAGGGCAACAGAAAAGAGCAGUCAGCUGUCAUGCGAGGGCACUCAAGCAGCCCUGUGGAAAGCUCUACGUGGUGAGAAACUGAAGCCUCCUGCCAACACCAACAAGGAACUGAGACCUACUUCCAACAGCCAUCUGAGUGAUCGAUCCAUCCUGGAAUCAGAUCCUCCAGCCCCAGUCAAGUCUUCAGAUGACUGCAGCCCUGACCAGCAUCUCAACUGCAACCUCGUGAAUGACCCUGAGCCAGAACCAUGCAACUAAACUCUGCGUGGAUUCAUGACCCACAGAAACUGUGAGAUGGUAGCUGUUUGCUUUGUUAAGCCUCUAAGUCUGGAAAGAAUGUCUUAAGCAGUAGCAGACAAUGAACACAAGAUUAUUAUUCAGCUGUUGAAUUGGAAGAGGAGGGGAAGAAAAAAUUUUCAGAUCACAAAAUAUUCAUUGUGUAAAACUUCAAAAAUUCUGAAAUUUAAGGAAAAAAUAUCAUUUGUUGGGAAUUUGUUGGGAUUCAUUGUCUCAGUGCCAAGAGACACCCACUCUUUUUUUUUUUUUGAGACAGAGUCCUGCUCUGUUGCCCAGGCUGAAGGGCAGUGGCACGAUCUCAGCUCACCACAACCUCUGCCUCCCGGGUUCAAGUGAUUCUCCUCCCUAAGCCUCCCAAGUGGCUGGGACUACAGGCAUGCAUCACCAUGCCCGGCUAAUUUUUGUAUUUUUAGUAGAGACGGGGUUUCACUAUGUUGGCCGGCUGAUCUCAAACUCUUGACCCCGUGAUCCGCCCGCAUCAGCCUCCCAAAGUGCCGGGAUUACAGGCAUGAGCCACUGCGCCCGGCCGAGACACUCACUCUUAACAUUUUGGUAUAUUUU
rnacentral:lncRNA from 1 species